GAUGAACGCUGGCGGCGUGCUGAAUACAUGCAAGUCGAGCGAACAGACGAGGAACUUGCUCCACUGACGUUAGCGGCGGACGGGUGAGUAACACGUGGAUAACCUACCUAUAAGACUGGGAUAACUUCGGGAAACCGGGGCUAAUACCGGAUAAUAUAUUGAACCGCAUGGUUCAAAAGUGAAAGACGGGUUUGCUGUCACUUAAAGAUGGAUCAGCGCCGCAUUAGCUAGUUGGUAAGGUAACGGCUUACCAAGGCAACGAUGCGGAGCCGACCUGAGAGGGUGACCAGCCACGCUGGAACUGAGACACGGUCCAGACUCCUCCGGGAUGCCGCAGUCGGGCAUCUUCGGGCAUGCUCGAAGGCAUGCGGGAUCAGUGUCGCGUGCGUGAUGAAGAUCUUCUGAUCGUAGAGCUCUGUAAUUAGCGAAAGACCACCGUGUAAGUAACUCGGAACGUCUUGACGGUACCUCAUCAGAUCGCCGCGGCUAACUACGUG
rnacentral:rRNA from 1 species